rnacentral:tRNA from 1 species
GCCCGGGUAGCUCAGUCGGUAGAGCAGUGGAUUGAAAAUCCUCGUGUCGGUGGUUCGAUUCCGCCCCCGGGCACCA